UGAAUACGAGAUGCUACGGCGUCGAAGCAGUGUAUGUCAGACUUCCAAGAAAAGCUCGCAAUGUCAUAAAUAAAGAAUGCCUGUACCAUAACCGACACAGGUGGGUAGGUAGAGUAUACUAAGGGGCGCGAGAUAACUCUCUCUAAGGAACUCGGCAAAAUAACUCCGUAACUUCGGGAGAAGGAGUGCCUUCUUUAAGAAGGUUGCAAUAACAAGAUCCAAGCAACUGUUUAUCAAAAACACAGGUCUCCGCUAAGUCGUAAGACGAUGUAUGGGGGCUGACGCCUGCCCAGUGCCAGAAGGUUAAAGAAGCUGGUUAGCAAUAGCGAAGCUGGUGACUGAAGCCCUGGUGAACGGCGGCCGUAACUAUAACGGUCCUAAGGUAGCGAAAUUCCUUGUCGGGUAAGUUCCGACCCGCACGAAAGGCGUAAUGAUUUGGAUACUGUCUCGGAGAGGGACUCGGUGAAAUAGACUUGUCUGUGAAGAUGCGGACUACCUGCACCAGGACAGAAAGACCCUAUGAAGCUUUACUGUAACCUGAAAUUGAAAUUGGACUUUAUUUGCGCAGUAUAGGUGGGAGGCGUUGAAAGUAAUCUUGCGGGAUUAGUGGAGCCAUCAGUGAGAUACCACUCCUAUAAUGUUAGAUUUCUAACUUUGGAUCAUGAUCUGGUCAAAGAACAGUUUCAGGCGGGCAGUUUGACUGGGGCGGUCGCCUCCCAAAUGGUAACGGAGGCGUACAAAGGUUUCCUCUGAACGGGUAGAAAUCGUAUCUAGAGUGUAAAGGCAUAAGGAAGCUUGACUGUGAGACCUACAAGUCGAGCAGGGACGAAAGUCGGUCUUAGUGAUCUGACGGUGCUGAGUGGAAAGGCCGUCACUCAACGGAUAAAAGUUACUCUAAGGAUAACAGGCUGAUCUCCCCCAAGAGUUCACAUCGACGGGGAGGUUUGGCACCUCGAUGUCGGCUCAUCGCAUCCUGGGGCGGUAGUACGUCCCAAGGGUUGGGCUGUUCGCCCAUGAAAGCGGUACGCGGGCUGGGCUCAGAACGUCGUGAGACAGUUCGGUCCAUAUCCGGUGUAGGCGUUAGAAUAUUGAGAGGAGCCUUCUCUAGUACGAGAGGACCGAGAAGGACAUACCUCUGGUGUACCAGUUAUCGUGCCAACGGUAAACGCUGGGUAGCUAUGUAUGGAGAGGAUAACCGCUGAAAGCAUCUAAGUGGGAAGCCCACCUCAAGAUGAG
rnacentral:rRNA from 1 species